rnacentral:tRNA from 3 species
GCCCGCGUAGCUCAACGGAAGAGCACCUGGUUCACAUCCAGGGGGUCGGAGGUUCGACACCUUCCGCGGGCACCG